GGAUAUUGCACACACA
rnacentral:rRNA from 2 species